UACCAGCUCUCCGAGUGGUAGGGAUGAUUAUUGGGCUUAAAGCGUCCGUAGCCGGCUUAGCAAGUCUCCUGUUAAAUUCAGCGACCUAAUCGUUGAGCCGCGGGAGAUACUACUAGGCUAGGAGGCGGGAGAGGUCGACGGUACUUCUGGGGUAGGGGUGAAAUCCUAUAAUCCCGGGAGGACCACCAGUGGCGAAGGCUGUCGACUAGAACGCGCUCGACGGUGAGGGACGAAAGCUGGGGGAGCGAACCGGAUCAGAUACCCGGGUAGUCCCAGCUGUAAACGAUGCGGGCUAGGUGUUGGGGUGGCUACGUGCCACUUCAGUGCCGCAGGGAAGCCAUUAAGCCCGCCGCCUGGGGAGUACGGCCGCAAGGCUGAAACUUAAAGGAAUUGGCGGGGGAGCACCACAAGGCGUGAAGCUUGCGGUUC
rnacentral:rRNA from 1 species